rnacentral:rRNA from 1 species
UGCCAGCCGCCGCGGUAAUACGAGGGGGGCAAGCGUUAUUCGGAAUUACUGGGCGUAAAGGGCGCGCAGGCGGCCUGUUAAGUGAGAAGUGAAAGGCCCGGGCUCAACCCGGGAAAUGCUUCUCAUACUGGCAGGCUAGAGGAUGGGAGAGGAAAAUGGAAUUCCCGGUGUAGCGGUGAAAUGCAUAGAUAUCUGGAGGAACAUCAGUGGCGAAGGCGGCUCCCUGGCCAAAGACUGACGCUCAUGUGCGAAAGUGUGGGUAGCGAACAGGAUUAGAUA